CGCUGGCGGCGUGGAUUAGGCAUGCAAGUCGAACGAAUCCCAUCUGGGUAACUGGGUGGGGGAAGUGGCGAAAGGGGCAGUAAGGCAUGGGUAACCUACCCCGGGGACGGGGAUAGCCAUUCUAACGAGUGGGUAAUACCUGGCGAUCUGGCGAGGAGACAUCUCUUUGCCAGGAAAUGAAUUUCGCCUCGGGAGGGGCCCAUGUGGUAUUAGCUUGUUGGUGAGGUAACGGCUCACCAAGGCCAAGAUGCCUAGCAGGUGUGAGAGCACGACCUGCGCCACUGGCUCUGUGACACUGGCCAGACUCCUACGGGAGGCUGCAGUCGAGGAUCUUCGGCAAUGGGCGCAAGCCUGACCGAGCGACGCCGCGUGUGCGAUGAAGGCCUUCGGGUUGUAAAGCACUGUCGAGGGGGAGGAAAGCCCGCAAGGGUCUGACCUAUCCCUGGAGGAAGCACGGGCU
rnacentral:rRNA from 1 species